rnacentral:snoRNA from 1 species
GCCAUGAUGAAUUUUGCUGUGUUGAUCAUCUGAAAUGAUGAUGCUUUCAUGUCCUCUAAGAAGUUCUGAGCCU